rnacentral:rRNA from 1 species
GACGAACGCUGGCGGCGUGCCUAACACAUGCAAGUCGAACGCAGUGGCGAACGGGUGCGGAAUACGUUGGUACCCUGCACUCCUGUAUGGGUUAAGCCUUGGCAACGGGGUCUAAUACCGAAUACAGGGGCAUGGGCCCGCGGUCUAUCAGCUUGUUGGUGGGGUGCUGGCCUACCAAGGCGGUGACGGGUAGCCGGCCGGAGAGGGUGCACGGCAACGUUGGUACUGAGAUACGGCCCAGGCUCCUACGGGGGGGAGCAGUUGGGGAUAUGGCACAAAGGGCGAAAGCCUGAUGCGGCGACGCCGCGUGGGGGAUGAAGGCUUUAGGGUUGUAAGCCUCUUUCGCUAUCGAGCGGGUAGGUGGAGAGGAAGCGCCGGCUAACUACGUGCCAGCAGCCGCGGUAAUUC